rnacentral:lncRNA from 10 species
AUCAAGUGAAGCAGCUAUCACAGGGUCUGGAACAUAUUAGGUUCUGUCAAUAGAAGAUACUAAAGAAAGAAAGCCAGGAGAAGAAAAGGGACUUCUUUCUUCAAGGUCUAAGCUGUUCUAAUAGCAUUAUUCUGGGAAUGGCAUCUUCCACUCCUCCUAGUACAAAGAACCUGCUUCCUCAUACCCCGUCAAGGAACUGCAGCAUCCAGGUGAUGGCCACAGUGGCAGAACCUAGGAAGCCAAGAAGAAACCAGAGAAUGGAGACACAUGGCAGCAAUGGCAAGUCAUCAGACCCAGGAUUUCCCAAAGAACACUGGUCCAGGAAGAUGCUCUGUGAAAAAGUGUUCCCUGGUCGGAGAAAUUUGUGAAACACUUUGCAUAAUACUUAAAAGAAUGUAUGGCACAUCAAAGAUCUUAUAACAGUCUCCGCAGGAAGCAGCUGCAGUCAUUAGCCAUAGGACAGACUAAACACACAAUCUGCAUGGAAGGAGGCCUGGAUCAGCUUGGUCUUUCAGAUCUCUAAUCUCAGGCACAGGAAAGCACCAUCAACAGCACCCUUUGUAUAUAUACAUAAAGGUGAACACUGGAAGAGGAGAAAGUUUGCCUGCAGAUGGAGAAGAACGAGCACAGGUAGAGAGGAGUGUGUGUGUGUGUAGGGUGAGAUACAGAGACAGAGACAUUCUGAUAAACAUUCUAACAGAGAUGAAAAGAAAGAGAAAGAUGAAUUGAAGUGGCCCUUCCCUGGAUGAAUACAAGGAGAGAGGAGCAGCAGGGAUGUGGGAGGGGAAAUUCAACUCCUGGGAAGUAGUGGAAUGAGAAAAUUAGAUCUGCUCACCUCUUUACUGCUGCCCUGCACACCAAGAUCAGAGUUGGACUGAGAAGUGGACCACUCAAACGGGUACAUGGUACACCAAUGCAC